UGCAAGUCGAGCGGGGAGAUGUAGCUUGCUACAUUUCCUAGCGGCGGACGGGUGAGUAAUGCUUAGGAAUCUGCCUAUUAGUGGGGGACAACAUUCCGAAAGGAAUGCUAAUACCGCAUACGCCCUACGGGGGAAAGCAGGGGAUCUUCGGACCUUGCGCUAAUAGAUGAGCCUAAGUCAGAUUAGCUAGUUGGUGGGGUAAAGGCUUACCAAGGCGACGAUCUGUAGCGGGUCUGAGAGGAUGAUCCGCCACACUGGGACUGAGACACGGCCCAGACUCCUACGGGAGGCAGCAGUGGGGAAUAUUGGACAAUGGGCGCAAGCCUGAUCCAGCCAUGCCGCGUGUGUGAAGAAGGCCUUUUGGUUGUAAAGCACUUUAAGCGAGGAGGAGGCUACUUAGAUUAAUACUCUAGGAUAGUGGACGUUACUCGCAGAAUAAGCACCGGCUAACUCUGUGCCAGCAGCCGCGGUAAUACAGAGGGUGCGAGCGUUAAUCGGAUUUACUGGGCGUAAAGCGUGCGUAGGCGGCUUCUUAAGUCGGAUGUGAAAUCCCUGAGCUUAACUUAGGAAUUGCAUUCGAUACUGGGAAGCUAGAGUAUGGGAGAGGAUGGUAGAAUUCCAGGUGUAGCGGUGAAAUGCGUAGAGAUCUGGAGGAAUACCGAUGGCGAAGGCAGCCAUCUGGCCUAAUACUGACGCUGAGGUACGAAAGCAUGGGGAGCAAACAGGAUUAGAUACCCUGGUAGUCCAUGCCGUAAACGAUGUCUACUAGCCGUUGGGGCCUUUGAGGCUUUAGUGGCGCAGCUAACGCGAUAAGUAGACCGCCUGGGGAGUACG
rnacentral:rRNA from 1 species